rnacentral:rRNA from 1 species
UACGAAGGGGGCUAGCGUUGCUCGGAAUUACUGGGCGUAAAGGGCGCGUAGGCGGAUAUCUAAGUUGGGGGUGAAAGCCCGGGGCUCAACCUCGGAAUAGCCUUCAAUACUGGAUAUCUCGAGUUCGGGAGAGGUGAGUGGAAUGCCGAGUGUAGAGGUGAAAUUCGUAGAUAUUCGGCGGAACACCAGUGGCGAAGGCGACUCACUGGCCCGAUACUGACGCUGAGGCGCGAAAGCGUGGGGAGCAAACAGGAUUAGAUACCCUGGUAGUCCACGCCGUAAACGAUGAGUGCUAGUUGUCGGCAUGCAUGCAUGUCGGUGACGCAGCUAACGCAUUAAGCACUCCGCCUGGGGAGUACGGUCGCAAGAUUAAA